GAUGAAGAACGCAGCGAAAUGCGAUACGUAAUGUGAAUUGCAGAAUUCAGUGAAUCAUCGAGUCUUUGAACGCACAUUGCGCCCCCUGGUAUUCCGGGGGGCAUGCCUGUCCGAGCGUCAUUUCUGCCCUCAAGCACGGCUUGUGUGUUGGGCCCCGUCCUCCGAUUCCGGGGGACGGGCCCGAAAGGCAGCGGCGGCACCGAGUCCGGUCCUCGAGCGUAUGGGGCUUUGUCACCCGCUCUGUAGGCCCGGCCGGCGCUUGCCGAUCAACCCAAAUUUUUAUCCAGGUUGACCUCGGAUCAGGUAGGGAUACCCGCUGAACUUAAGCAUAUCAAUAAGCGGAGGA
rnacentral:misc_RNA from 1 species